rnacentral:ncRNA from 1 species
UAUCUUUGCAGCUUGAUUGAAAAUCAGUCAUAUACAUAAAAAUCAUUUAAAAUAAUAUUGGAAUG